AUUGAACGCUGGCGGCAUGCUUUACACAUGCAAGUCGAACGGCAGCGCGGGCUUCGGCCUGGCGGCGAGUGGCGAACGGGUGAGUAAUGCAUCGGAACGUGCCCAGUAGUGGGGGGUAGCCCGGCGAAAGCCGGAUUAAUACCGCAUACGACCUGAGGGUGAAAGCGGGGGACCGAAAGGCCUCGCGCUAUUGGAGCGGCCGAUGUCGGAUUAGCUAGUUGGUGGGGUAAAGGCUUACCAAGGCGACGAUCCGUAGCUGGUCUGAGAGGACGACCAGCCACACUGGGACUGAGACACGGCCCAGACUCCUACGGGAGGCAGCAGUGGGGAAUUUUGCACAAUGGGGGCAACCCUGAUCCAGCCAUGCCGCGUGCGGGAAGAAGGCCUUCGGGUUGUAAACCGCUUUUGUUCGGGAAGAAAUCCUCUGGGCUAAUACCCCGGGGGGAUGACGUUACCGGAAGAAUAAGCACCGGCUAACUACGUG
rnacentral:rRNA from 1 species